rnacentral:lncRNA from 1 species
GUCAAUCACACCAAUGACUCGAGACUAGUCACUCUCCCUAAGAGAAGACAUAGCAUGUACUGAUCUUAACGGACUGUCAAUGCCCAAUUGACAAUCCUAUGAUCAGGAACGUUUAGGAUAUGUAUACGAAAGAAUGGUCUCAUGAAUCUAACUUCUUUAGAUCGUAUUCUCCUAAUCCUUAACAUGUGAAAUGUCCGUAAAUUAUCAUCAUAUGAUUGGUUUUAGGGCACAUUUCCAACAAUCUCCCACUUGCACUAGAGCCAAUCAGCUUGGUCAUCAGUGAUGAUACCUCUUCUGUAGUCAUUUCAUAAAUGGCUGAGUAAUAGGCCUAGACAAUGGAUAUCUAUAUGUUAUCCAUAGAAGCAACCUUGAGAAUAACGACGUCACCAUUAUACAUGAUUCUCAAUCAUGUGGUUCAGUCUCUCAUUUGAGUUCGGAUCUUAAUGAGACCUUGAUUCCCUGGCUUGAGCUAUCGC